AAAAAUGAUUUCCUUACAGACAGCUUUUUUAUUUCCAGUUAAUGUGUUUUAAAUACCUGCUGGGAGAAAAAAGCUAUGUGCAAGGUGACAGAAAACAAGAGGCA
ensembl:miRNA gga-mir-6641 gga-mir-6641